rnacentral:rRNA from 1 species
UACGGAGGGGGCUAGCGUUGUUCGGAAUUACUGGGCGUAAAGCGCACGUAGGCGGCUUUGUAAGUUAGAGGUGAAAGCCCAGGGCUUAACCCUGGAAUUGCCUUUAAGACUGCAUCGCUAGAAUCGUGGAGAGGUGAGUGGAAUUCCGAGUGUAGAGGUGAAAUUCGUAGAUAUUCGGAAGAACACCAGUGGCGAAGGCGACUCACUGGACACGUAUUGACGCUGAGGUGCGAAAAGCGUGGGGAGCAAACAGGG